UUUUCCUUUUUAAUUUCCCACUCUUUUUAGCUUAACUACUCAUUAACUUCUCUGUAUUCCCGCCAUUGUUUCCCUUCAUAUUUCCACUUUUCCCUCGACCCCUCUUCUCCCAUUAUCUGCGUAAGAAACUUCCAUUUUCAUAGCUAUAUAUUCACCAUAUAGUUCCUCUUGGAUAGAUGAAAUUCCUGGUGAGCAUUAGGUCAGUUCUCUCUUUUCUUUUUGUGUUAGGAAUAUUGCGGAAUAUAUAAACGGAAGCGGAUGAUUGAAAAUUGAGAAUUAUAGAGAAGUUAAAAUAAAUAGGGAAAUAAAAUGACAAGAUAUUUUAGGGAGAUAUAUUUGUGAUAAAAAAAGAGAUAAUAAAAUUAGA
rnacentral:lncRNA from 1 species